rnacentral:tRNA from 2 species
GGGCCUGUAGCUCAGGGGUAGAGCGCUCGCUUUGCAUUCACUGCGACACAGACUCUUUAGAAUGUGUUUUCUUACCUACUUAUAAGAAUAUGCGAGAGGCCUAGGGUUCAAAUCCCUACCGGUCCA